rnacentral:rRNA from 1 species
AUUGAACGCUGGCGGCAGGCCUAACACAUGCAAGUCGAGCGGAGCGGCGGACGGGUGCGUAAUGCCUAGGAAUCUGCCUGGUAGUGAGGGAUAACGUCCGGAAACGGGCGCUAAUGCCGCAUCCUCUCAGAUGCGCCUAGGUCGGAUUGGCGAGUUGGUGGGGUAAAGGCAUACCAAGGCGACGAUCCGUAACUGGUCUGAGAGGAUGAUCAGUCACACUGGAACUGAGACACGGUCCAGACUCCUACGGGAGGCAGCAGUGGGGAAUAUUGGACAAUGGGCGCAAGCCUGAUCCAGCCAUGCCGCGUGUGUGAAGAAGGUCUUCGGAUUGUAAAGCACUUUAAGUUGGGAGGCGUUACCAACAGAAUAAGCACCGGCUAACUCCGUGCCAGCAGCCGCGGUAAUUC